GGGCUCACACAAGCGGUGGAGCAUGUGGCUUAAUUCGAGGCAACGCGAAGAACCUUACCAGGGUUUGACAUCCUGCGAAUCUCUUGGAAACGAGAGAGUGCCUUCGGGAGCGCAGUGACAGGUGGUGCAUGGCUGUCGUCAGCUCGUGUCGUGAGAUGUUGGGUUAAGUCCCGCAACGAGCGCAACCCACGUCUUUAGUUGCCAGCAUUUAGUUGGGCACUCUAGAGAGACCGCCGGUGAUAAACCGGAGGAAGGUGUGGAUGACGUCAAGUCAUCAUGCCCCUUACAUCCUGGGCUACACACGUACUACAAUGCUACGGACAAAGAGCAGCAAGUUCGCGAGGACAAGCAAAUCUCAUAAACCGUGGCUCAGUUCAGAUCGUAGGCUGCAACUCGCCUACGUGAAGGAGGAAUCGCUAGUAA
rnacentral:rRNA from 1 species